rnacentral:lncRNA from 1 species
UCUGCAGGCAGACCGAAAGACUCUAUCAUCCACAAGUGCUACCUGGGAUUUCCUCCAGAAUUGCCUGUUCUAUCCAC